rnacentral:tRNA from 1 species
GGCGGCUUGGCAGAGUUAGGUUAUUGCGCCAGCCUGAUAAGCUGGUGGAGCAGCUAAGCUCUACGUGGGUUCAAAUCCCACAGCCGCCG